UUCAAUAAAAACAUCCGUGCUUCCGGUCAUCAAGACUCAAACAGAAUGGUGGGAUGACGUGGAACACUGUACAAUAUAGUAGUGACAUGUUUCACAGGUGCUGAAUUGAACAUGAAUUUACAACAAAACAAUUCAGAUUUCUGGUUAUGCAUUUUUGAAUCGGUUAAAACAUGUCACGAAUAUAAUUUACAAAUCUCUUGAAGCUUUGUUUCAUUAUAACCUAACAUAGAUAAUAGAGUAAUAAUAUAAAAUAGCUAUAUUCAGUGAAAUUAAAUUGAAUUUCAAAGGGGACAAAACGUCAUCAAUAUCGUUGUCGUUGUCAGUGAAAAUGUGCUUUAAAAACCAAUUCUCUGGCAAAAAGAUUAAUAUGGAAGUUCUAAAAUAUUAUUUUAGCUGCAUGUAUAAUAUUUCUAAAGCACAACUUUGAGUUAGGUUAAAACACAAAGUAUUUAUCUGCUCCAACACAUCAAUUAUUUAUUCUUCAAUAUUUAAUAAAGUCUACACACAAUUAGUCUAAAAUAAUGUCCAGUAUGCACGACAAUAUGACGUCCAAGGACAUGUGAUGCAUGUGUAGAGAGGAUACGGAACAACAACACGUCAGUGUGGUACAGUGGCUGUACAGAAGUAUGACUGAAAAGUAGUUCUCGACUGAUACAGCUUCUGUCGGGUACAAAUUCUAACUAUAAUAGUUCACCAGACAGAGUAAAAUAAGGAACAGAGACUGUUAUAAAGUACACACAGUUUCAUAACGGGUAUCAUUUUGGUAAUUAGUUGUUCUACAUUAAAUGUAAUGGUAUUUUUAUUUAUUCAAUUCGAUCUAAAAAUAACGUUUUGUGAGAGAACGUCUUCUUUUAAAAUCUGUAACAUUGCAUGUAAUUCCAGCGUUCCUCGCCGCUUGCCCACGAGCCACAACAGGAAGCAGUUAGCACUGAUCAUACCUUAGUCUAUCGUAGAUGUCUAUCGUAGAUGUUGGAUGAUGAAAAUGAAAAACCAAGACAGUGAAAUUGUAUUCAGACCGACGAAAGAACGUGAGUUUGGUUUUGUGUCUUACUUUGUAACACAAGUAUGACACAAAGGUGAAUAAAUUGGAGCAGGUCUGAUUACAUACUGCCAAGCACUGUUUGACAUAAAGGAACUGACAAAAACAUAUGUAAGUAGAACAAUACAGAUUUGUGCAUGGAUUGUAAUACAUAAAGUAGUUGUAUACAAUGUUUCGAUACUAUGCAUAUUAUUGUAAUAACUUUGACAAUGAUGACUUUAAAAUGUCAGCGCGGAAGAAUCAUACUUUUGCUGUGGAAAAAUUCAACAUCGCGGCAGUUCACACAAAGGGUAAGCAUGACUACAGGUAGCUAACGCUGUUCACACAAAGGGUAAGCAUGACUACAGGUAGCUAACGCUGUUCACACAAAGGGUAAGCAUGUACUACAGGUAGUUAACGCUGUUCACACAAAGGGUAAGCAUGUACUACAGGUAGCUAACGCUGUUCACACAAAGGGUAAGCAUGACUACAGGUAGCUAACGCUGUUCACACAAAGGGUAAGCAUGACUACAGGUAGCUAACGCUGUUCACACAAAGGGUAAGCAUGACUACAGGUAGCUAACGCUGUUCACACAAAGGGUAAGCAUGACUACAGGUAGCUAACGCUGUUCACACAAAGGGUAAGCAUAACUACAGGUAGCUAACGCUGUUCACACAAAGGGUAAGCA
rnacentral:lncRNA from 1 species